AUUGAACGCUGGCGGCAGGCCUAACACAUGCAAGUCGAGCGGAUGAAGGGAGCUUGCUCCUGGAUUCAGCGGCGGACGGGUGAGUAAUGCCUAGGAAUCUGCCUGGUAGUGGGGGAUAACGUCCGGAAACGGGCGCUAAUACCGCAUACGUCCUGAGGGAGAAAGUGGGGGAUCUUGGGACUUAACGCUUUCAGAGGAGCCUAGGUCGGAUUAGCUAGUUGGUGGGGUAAAGGCCUACCAAGGCGACGAUCCGUAACUGGUCUGAGAGGAUGAUCAGUCACACUGGAACUGAGACACGGUCCAGACUCCUACGGGAGGCAGCAGUGGGGAAUAUUGGACAAUGGGCGAAAGCCUGAUCCAGCCAUGCCGCGUGUGUGAAGAAGGUCUUCGGAUUGUAGAGCACUUUAAGUUGGGAGGAAGGGCAGUAAGUUAAUACCUUGCUGUUUUGACGUUACCAACAGAAUAAGCACCGGCUAACUUCGUG
rnacentral:rRNA from 1 species